GCUCAUUGCACGGCAUAAAUGAAAGUAGUAAAAUGUGUCUGAGGCCCAUCAUUUUUCUCUGGACGCUGUAACUAAUAUCUAAAAGGAGUGACAGCUGCUUUGAUCUAAAUACUGAGAGCAUGCUGUUUAGUAUGUCUGCCAUGUACACACCUUUAGCAUGUUAGCAUGCUAACAUUUGCUAAGUAGCACAAAACACACCUGGGUCACAAUGUAAUGUAAUUAGAUCACCACAGACAUUAGGCUUUAUUUUCUGGGCACUUAUGAUGUAUAUACAAAGGAAAAUGGCAAGCCUAUUCAACCUGCAAGCCAGUUCAACACGCAAGCUAGUUCAGGCAGACAACUGCUAGCUAAAAUUGCACAUGAGCUACUCUUCUGUCUGGUGGAUGUAACAAGCGCACCCUUUUUUCAAGGCGGGCUAUUUACACUGGUGGUUUGUCCACUGUGGGUGUGCUGGUGCUAGACAUGGCUCCUUUCCCAGCUUUCUUCUGGGCUUUAUCACUUCAAAUUACUUUUGAAGAGUACUAAAUAUUAGGAAAGUACAGUGGUUUUGAGACAGCUUAGUGGAGGGAAGGUGUUUGUGCUGCACACUGGUCAGAUUCAGCAGCUCUGUUUGUUAACUGCUGGCCAUUUUAGGCAUCGGCCUCAGAAACACAAGUCCAAAGCUUCAAGAGUUUCUUCUGCACCCACACUCAGUCAGACAAGUUUCACCGAUGGGCAGAACAUCGCCCCUUCACUUCUACAAGGUCCUUCCUACUGAUGAGAUGAUGGGGGACCUUCUUUACAGCAGCCCAGGUAUCGUUGUACUUCUCUUUGUACACCUUCCCAAAACAGCCCUGUGCGAGAGUACCAGUGGAGUACGCCAUCGAGGCCACGUUGUGAUGCCUGCAGAGUGAGAGCCACUCAAACUGGAGCUACUACCAUUAUGACAGCAGUUAAGAAGGAAACCAAAAAAGUGGACUAACAUGAGUAAAGGUCAAAGAAACAAACACACCAUGCCCUCCACACUUUACUAGAAGAAUUCAUUCCUCCACCAGAUGGAGCUUGUGCAUUAUGAGUAGUUCAUGCGGACAAUGAUACAUACACCUCGGACUGGGGUGUAUCAGGGAUGGACACGAAGAGGGGGGUACAGUGACCAGGUGAAGGACUUUGCGGUAUGGUGCGGGUCUAGCGGCUUGCACAUCAACACAUGCAAAACCAUGGUGGUCCCACUCCCCCACCUGCAGCUGGUAACCAUCAACGUGGGACCCUGUGGAAUUUGAUCAGACCUACAAGUACCUGGGACAGCAAGUAGAUCACAAACUGGACGGGUCCGCGAACAUAGAUGCACUGUACAAGAAAGGACAGUUUCUGUUUCCUGAGGAGACCUUGAUCUUUUAGCGUCUACCAUAAGCGGCUGCAGAUGUUCUACCAGACUGUCAUAGCCAGCGUCCUCUUCUAUGAUGUGGUGAGCUGGGGAAGCCACAUUAGGAAGGAUCCCUCAUGUAUCUAGACAAGCUGGCGAGGAAGGCUGGAGUCUCUGACAUCUGUGGCACAGAAGAAGACUGUGAACAAAAUCCUAUCUGUGAUGAACAACGUCCAUCACCCUCCGUGUACCACCAUCAUUAGACAGAGGAGCACAUUCAGCGACAGGCUGCUGUCUCUGUCCCUUAAAUCUUUUAUUUGCUCUAUAUUUUUAUACUUCUUUAUACUUUAUAUUUUAAAUACUUGCAAACAUGCAGAUUUGUGUUUUUUGUCUUUGUAAUGAUGCCACUGGAUAUUUUCUAUCUCAGAGUUUUUGCUUAGCUGGUUUUUAUUGUUUCUUAAUAGACAUCCAGUUCAAAUUUAUGUUUUUCUUUCCUUCUAGACGUCCUUUUUAGUUCCCUUAAAGUAAUAAUCCUUAAUGCCAGAGGGAUUCAUGACAAAACCAAAAGGAAAUCAAUUUUUAUGUUCAGAAGAUGGAAAAAAAAUGCUGACUUGAUAUUCUUGCAGGAGACUCGUUCAGUGGACAGUGAUGAAAACGUUUGGAAAGCACGAUGGGGUGACCAGUGUUAUUUUUGUCAAACAUCUCAACAAUCAGCAGGGGUCGCCAUCCUCCACGACAAAUUCAAAGGUGAUAUUGUUGAAUCGUUGAUCUCUAAUGAGGGCAGAUGGAUGACCUUGUUUUUCAAAUUAGACGACUCCUUCUUUAUAGUCUGUAAUUUACAUAAUCAUAACCAUGCAACCAGAGCAAAUGAAAUGUUCACAAAGCUCUGUAAGGAACUGGAGACACUCAAAAACAACUGUAAGGAAGCGCAUUUGAUCAUAGGAGGGGAUUAUAAUGAUGCCACAGAUGAUUUAGUAGAGAGGAUACAUGCAAGAUUAGUUCCACAUUCAAAAUCUAAAAGUACUACAUUUAUAAAUGAACAACUGUCAGCUGAUCUGAUAAUAAAGGAGUUCAAUUGAAGCAACCUCAGCAGAUCCUUACAAUCCAGAACUGACUUGUGGUACAUACUUCCCUCUUGUUUACAGAUUGUUUCAGGAUGAUCACAUUGUUAUGCUCUGUUAUACUCUGAUCACAGAGUAUAACAGUAGUGCAGUGGUCCCUCAGUAGUGCAGUGGUUAGUACUGUUGCCUCGCAGCAAGAGGGUUCCAGGUUCUGAGUUUGAAUCCCGGUCUGUGCAGAGUUGGCAUGUUCUCCCAUUUUUUGAUUCUUCAUUGUGUGCAAUGUUCUGGAUGGAUUUUGAACAUUUUAUUUGAGGUAAAACAUCACAUGUAGUCACUACAGAGAAGGAAAAUGUCUUUACUUACUAAUACCUGAAGUCAGGUCCAUCAGUUAAUUUUUUCAAAAUGAAACUGAUCUGUAUUUUAAUCUCAAAGUUGUCACGAACAAGAAAGGAAUCGCAACAAUUAAUAGAUCAGAACUGUUUAAGUAAAAAACAACUCUUAUUGUGUCUUAAUGUACUUAAAGAAGUCUGCUACACUUUUAUCCUUUCAUCCAAUUUUAUUUAUUUAUUGUUUUCAUUCUCUUUUUUCGAUGAUUUGCAUUUCCAGUUGUCUUAUUUAUGUUUUUAAAUUGCUUUUCAAAUAAAG